rnacentral:rRNA from 2 species
AACUUUCAACAACGGAUCUCUUGGCUCUGGCAUCGAUGAAGAACGCAG